rnacentral:rRNA from 1 species
UACGUAGGGGGCAAGCGUUAUCCGGAUUUACUGGGUGUAAAGGGAGCGUAGGCGGCGAUGCAAGUCAGAAGUGAAAGCCCGGGGCUCAACUCCGGGACUGCUUUUGAAACUGUGUUGCUAGAUUGCAGGAGAGGUAAGUGGAAUUCCUAGUGUAGCGGUGAAAUGCGUAGAUAUUAGGAGGAACACCAGUGGCGAAGGCGGCUUACUGGACUGUAAAUGACACUGAGGCUCGAAAGCGUGGGGAGCAAACAGG